UUCAGAUUAGCAAACGAACGGACGCAAGCUACAUCAGAUAGGAAAUAAAGGUAGAGACCCUCGCGACAGGACAACUGCUUCUGAGAUGUCUCCUAGAAUAUUCCAGUGUCUAUUACUAGUGUCGCUGACCUACUUGGUUGCGGGGGAACUACGAGGACUGUUGCCAUAUUUCUUCAAACGUGAACCGCCGAAAAAUCUCAAGGAAAAAGUAUUUCAUUGGUCUUCAGUUUAUCAAGAUGACGCAUGGUGCUCUGAGGCUUGUGAUGCAAAAGUGUGUCGCAUGAUUGAGAAGAACGGAAAGUUUAACCUGUGGUUUAGUGACUGUGAUUGUGGACUCCAUUGUCACUGCCUGUACACUGGGUUAAUGCAUAAUGUAUACGUCUAUAAAUGUAUGCCAGCAUUCUGAUUCAUGCACUUUUACAGUGUAAAUGUUACUUGUUAUUCUGUCCAGCGUUUUACACGUUCUGUUGCUGUCUCUGUGUGGAAAAACACCUUAACUACAGCACAUGAACUGCACAAGAAAGAUGAAUUCUCUGUCCCUUCUCAAGAGUAGAGACUGAGAAGAGCCUUCGGUUGGUAUCAUUGUCAGUUAUCUUAGACUUCAACAGAAUAUGAUUGUCGUUUGUUCGUCAACUAAGUAUUUCUAAGUAGCAAACAAAAUUUAGCUGCGUAAGAAAUUUUUCAAUGCCUAAUUUCUGUUUUUUUUUUUUCCUUCUAAAUUUGAUUUCGCCUGAGCCUGUGAGCGCUCCUCCGCACGCGAGAAGCUUUGAAACGAGUCGGAGAGACGGUUUUACCAGGGAUCUGGCGCUAAUAAUGAGUGCUAGAGCCCUGACAGACUUAUAGCGGGCUCGUGUUACUCGAGGCCCCAUACUUUCCCGCGGGCGAAGAAGCGCUCGUGCCCAGGCGCGAAUAAAGAACGCCUACUAGGUAGCUACGUUUUCUCCAAAAAAUUUACAUAAGAAUAGGAUAUUUUGACGAAAAUCAACACAACGGUGUAUGGCUAAAGUUCAGUUUUAACUUUUGUAACUUGAUCUAGUUAGGAAAAUAAAGAUCUGGGGAUAUUUUGGGA